rnacentral:rRNA from 1 species
GUUUGAUCCUGGCUCAGGAUGAACGCUGGCGGCGUGCCUAAUACAUGCAAGUCGAACGAGGUGCUUUUGUAGCAAUACGAAAGUAUCCUAGUGGCGAACGGGUGAGUAACGCGUUGGUGACCUGCCCCAAAGUGUGGGAUAACAGUCCGAAAGGAUUGCUAAUACCUCAUGUGGUCAUCGGGUUUAGAAACCGAUGACUAAAGCAGCAAUGCGCUUUGGGAGGGGCCUGCGUCCCAUCAGCUAGUUGGUGAGGUAAUGGCUCACCAAGGCGACGACGGGUAGGGGACCUGAGAGGGUGGCCCCCCACAAUGGAACUGAAACACGGUCCAUACACCUACGGGUGGCAGCAGUAGGGAAUAUUGCUCAAUGGGCGAAAGCCUGAAGCAGCAACGCCGCGUGCGCGAUGAAGGUCUUCGGAUCGUAAAGCGCUUUUAUGAGGGAUGAGAAAGGACAGUACCUCAGGAAUAAGUCUCGGCUAACUACGUGCCAGCAGCCGCGGUAAAACGUAGGAGGCAAGCGUUAUCCGGAUUCACUGGGCGUAAAGCGCGUGCAGGCGGUUCGGUAAGUUGGGCGUGAAAUCUCCUGGCUUAACUGGGAGAGGUCGUCCAAUACUACCGGACUUGAGAGUGAUAGAGGAAGAUGGAAUUCCCGGUGUAGUGGUGAAAUGCGUAGAUAUCGGGAGGAACACCAGUGGCGAAAGCGAUCUUCUGGAUCAUUUCUGACGCUCAGACGCGAAAGCUAGGGUAGUAAACGGGAUUAGAGACCCCGGUAAUCCUAGCCGUAAACGAUGUAAACUUGGCGUUGGUGGCUUAAACACCAUCAGUGCCGCAGCUAACGCGAUAAGUUUACCGCCUGGGGACUACGAUCGCAAGAUUAAAACUCAAAGGAAUUGACGGGGGCCCGCACAAGCAGCGGAGCGUGUGGUUUAAUUCGAUGCUACACGAAGAACCUUACCCGGGUUUGACAUGCAAGUGGUAGUGAUCUGAAAGGUG